ACGGGUGAGUAACGCGUGGGAAUCUACCCAUCUCUACGGAACAACUCCGGGAAACUGGAGCUAAUACCGUAUACGUCCUUCGGGAGAAAGAUUUAUCGGAGAUGGAUGAGCCCGCGUUGGAUUAGCUAGUUGGUGGGGUAAUGGCCUACCAAGGCGACGAUCCAUAGCUGGUCUGAGAGGAUGAUCAGCCACAUUGGGACUGAGACACGGCCCAAACUCCUACGGGAGGCAGCAGUGGGGAAUAUUGGACAAUGGGCGAAAGCCUGAUCCAGCCAUGCCGCGUGAGUGAUGAAGGCCCUAGGGUUGUAAAGCUCUUUCAACGGUGAAGAUAAUGACGGUAACCGUAGAAGAAGCCCCGGCUAACUUCGUGCCAGCGGCCGCGGUAAUACGAAGGGGGCUAGCGUUGUUCGGAAUUACUGGGCGUAAAGCGCACGUAGGCGGAUUGUUAAGUUAGGGGUGAAAUCCCAGGGCUCAACCCUGGAACUGCCUUUAAUACUGGCAAUCUCGAGUCCGAGAGAGGUGAGUGGAAUUCCGAGUGUAGAGGUGAAAUUCGUAGA
rnacentral:rRNA from 1 species